UUAUCGGAGAGUUUGAUCCUGGCUCAGGACGAACGCUGGCGGCGUGCCUAAUACAUGCAAGUCGAGCGGAUUGAUGGGAGCUUGCUCCCUGAUAUCAGCGGCGGACGGGUGAGUAACACGUGGGUAACCUGCCUGUAAGACUGGGAUAACUCCGGGAAACCG
rnacentral:ncRNA from 1 species